rnacentral:lncRNA from 1 species
UGAUGGCUGCCUCCCCGGGAAUACCUAGGCUCUUCUGGCUCUCACCCCGUGGUCUUCGGCCAUUGCCACCCUGUCUCUGAAGCGCCUGGCCACUGUCUUCUCCCAGGCCCAGGAGAGGGUUCCCAUAGGGUGAACCUCCGGCGGGGGACCCUCUCCCCGGAGCGCGCGCCAUGCCGCUGGGCCCUGCGUGAGGUGGCGGCGCCCGCGGGCCUCGCGGUGGCCCUGCUGACCUGAGGGGCGGCCACCACAGAGCGCUUCCAAGACUGCAGCCUCUCCCAGGGCCGGGGUGGGGUGUGGUGACGAAAAGGCAAAACGUCCCAGGUCAGCGCCGCCAGGGAGGCGUGGACUCCACCGAGGCGCUCAGAGCCGCGCGGCCGCCUCCGUGACCGGCCCGUGGGGGAUGCGGGCCGCAGAGGCGCCCCGUUACUGGAAAAAGCAGCCGAGGCGGGGCAGCUGCCUCAGCAAGGCUUCGGUUUGGGUUUCCUGUUUGCUUGGUGGCCUCAGAAACGCUAACGAUGGAAGAUAACCGCUGAGGGAGACGCGCGGGAAUCAUGGGAGACGCAGCCAUCUUUGCUCGUUUGAGUAGGUCAGGCUUACGCGAUGAGACUAACUGCAGAGCGACUCUUCCAGCUUCCUUUGGGACUACCUUGUUGACAGAAAGCUUUUGGAAGCCCUGUGGUGGGAGAAAAUCUCUGUUGUCCAUUUCAGCUGUGAAAUUGAAUGAAGGCUGCCAUGUCUUCAAGCUGUCUGCUUUCGCCAGUGACCAAGAGAUCCUGCAAGUCUGACAUGGACUGGCUCAGAGGGAAGGGACAUUAGAGCUUUCUUUUAAAAAAAAAAAUGAGUUUGUUUAUUUAUUUAAGAAGUGGAAACAGAGAUAGGGAGAGACAGAAAGAUCUUCUAUCCAUUGGUUCAGUCCCCAGAUGGCCACAACAGCCAAAGCUGGGCUGAUCAAAGCCAGGAGCCAUAAGCAUAAAGCAUGAUUUUUUUAAUUUAAAAGGUCAUGAGGAAUUAAAACAAAUGCGACUGUGGUAAGAAUUAAAUGAAUGUACACAAUACAAAAAGGGACACAUAACACCCUCACAGCACUGAGCAAAGGCAAACAAAUGAAGAAUUACAACUACAGAGGAAACAGUAGGACAGUUGGCAGACAAACCUAGGAAAGCUGUCAUUCAAGUAAUAAGAUUUUCAGUAGAAAACUGAACAGGUAGGAAAGUGAGCAUAAACAGAAAAAUAAAGAAUUUUCAAUGAUAAAAUGCUAUAAUAGU